UUUGCUAACCUUGAUAACAUUUGGUGCUCUAAAAUGUUCAGGUGGAUGAACUUUGACCUCUGACAUUUUGUUCUUGACUGUCAAGAAUUCUUAUUUACAUGCUUUUAUUUUGAAGUCUGUCCUCUUGUUCUGUUGACUUCCUGUCGAGUUGAAAGUCCAUCAUUGGGACCCAAAGUGUGUCCAAACCUCCAGAUCAGUUCUGAAAACCCAAACAGACAAACAGGAAGUCUAACUUCCUGACACAUCCAGACCUGAUUAUCCCGAACAGAACCAGAACCAACCUGUCUGUCUGUUUACAGGUGAAACACAACGGACUGAUCCAGGAGAUGGAGCAUCCGACGGCGGGACGCAUCGCCGUGCCGGGUCCAGCUGUCCGCUUCAGCAGCUUCCCCCUGAGUGGGCCGACGCCCCCUCCUCUGAUUGGUCAGCACACGGUCCAGGUGCUGAGGGACACCUUGUCCUACAGUGAUGAUGUCAUCAAGGAGCUGCUGGAGUCCAGGGCGGUGGCUCAGAAUGAAGUGUCCUGAUUGGCUGAAGAAAGAGAAGCUGUCAAUCAGGGAACCAAUCAGAGCCUUAGAAUCAGAAUGAUGCAAUAAUGAUGUCAUAGACUGUGUAAAAUGUAACCAACCCUCCUAAAUCUUAGCUCCGCCCCCAACAACUGUUAAGAUGUCAGUAAAUUGGGGCGUGACCUGGUGUGUUAAUGGGGGGAAGGAGCCAGGAGAGAAGAAGCGCUGCUAACGGAUGAACUUUAUCGCUACAUUUAUCGACGUUCCUGACGAAUCCUGGUAUUGGACUUUAAUGGCACCAGCAUUCUGCAGCUGCAUGAAGAAGCAACCAGAGCAGCGCUAAGCCCCGCCCACUUGGUUGACAAAAGGGCGGGGCUUAGCUUGAUGUGCCCCGCCAACAUCAAGCUAAAUCACACUAAGUCCCGCCCACGGCAAGCUGAGCCCCGCUAAGCCCCGCCUACAACACGUUGAGUCAUACGAAGCCCCGCCCACAGCAAGCUUCCCAUCCACUGCAGUCUUUCUGACCGCCAUCAGUCUGCAGUCAGAACAGUGGAUCUGCUCUGCUCUGCGUCCAUGUGGCUGAUAAUCACACUUUCACCUGACUAACACCAUCUAUCAACCCUCGCCAGUCGCCAUGGAAACGCUUUUGUUCCACCUCCUGAUUCGCCACCAGGAGGCGUGUCUGAGUGGUUUUCUAUCAGUGAUGAAAAGCUGCAGUGUUUUAAACAAACAGCAGAAUUAAACUGCUUAGACAGCGUUCUACCUGAGGGGGCAGCACUGAGACGGUUUAGGUAAAAUAAUGCAACAAUGAACAAAUUUACAGAAAAAUGUCAGAAUCCAAGAAAAACAUAAACAUAAAAGCCAAAAUAACUUUUUGACAGGUUUAUUUUAUUGGUUAGUUACACUUUAAUGAAGUGGAUCUGCUCCUUUACACUCCUUUAAAAUGCUUUAAAACAUCGUGGAAGGAAAACCUCAGAAACUGACACUCCAUGACUGUAAACCUGCUGCUGAAUAAAUUAUUUUCAUAAAUCAUGAAAAUAAA